AGCCAGACUCCUACGGGAGGCAGCAGUGGGGAAUAUUGCACAAUGGGCGCAAGCCUGAUGCAGCCAUGCCGCGUAUGAAGAAGGCCUUAGGGUUGUAAAGUACUUUCAGCGGGGAGGAAGGUGAUAAGGUUAAUACCCUUGUCAAUUGACGUUACCCGCAGAAGAAGCACCGGCUAACUCCGUGCCAGCAGCCGCGGUAAUACGGAGGGUGCAAGCGUUAAUCGGAAUUACUGGGCGUAAAGCGCACGCAGGCGGGCAAUUAAGUCAGAUGUGAAAGCCCCGAGCUUAACUUGGGAAUUGCAUCUGAAACUGGUUGGCUAGAGUCUUGUAGAGGGGGGUAGAAUUCCAUGUGUAGCGGUGAAAUGCGUAGAGAUGUGGAGGAAUACCGGUGGCGAAGGCGGCCUGCUGGACUGUAACUGACGUUGAGGCUCGAAAGCGUGGGGAGCAAACAGGAUUAGAUACCCGCGUAGU
rnacentral:rRNA from 1 species